AGCCUCGUUGCUCAGUUGACUUGAGCGUUGACUGUACUAAAGCCUUCCCCUUGCUGGCAUGGGUUCGAAUCCCACCGAGGCUG
rnacentral:tRNA from 1 species